UUUUUUUAUGACCGCCAUUUUCUUAAAAAUCGAAAUUUCGUAAAAUCCCUACGUACAGACUUAAAACAUAUUGUUAUUAAUAAGAAAAAAUUUAGAUUUUUGUUCUAUGAGCCACGUAGAAGAAGGAAUUUGACACGCAGACUGACGGUGUUCCUCAAAAGCCGUAUACUUUGGCCCCACCUACAAGAGGUUAUUUUUUACUUUUUCGACAUUAAAAAAUUUUUUAUUGCAGCUUAAGAUUGUCUUAAUGAAUGGCUAAAACCGAUUUUCUUUCUGCGCAUUUUUUGUAUGAAAAAAAAAAUCAUGAAAAACGUCUCCAAAAUUGCAAUCAAAGGUGGUAUCCUGCCUUAACUCUCGUUAGGAUUAAAACAUAUGGUGUAUAUCACCAUAUUUACCUCGCAGCAAAGUACUUAAUAACGCUAAUAAAUAACAGUCUGGAGGCAGGUUCGUGCGAUAUGAGGGACUGUUUAAUAUUUCGGACCAAUAUCAAUCGGUCCUUAUCUGUAUGCGCGAUUGUUGCACGCAUAAUCGCCGAGUGUUUAUUGGCAGUUUCCAUAAAUUUGAAUUUAACUAGAAUCCAUUUCAUGCGUGCGCCUUACAAUUCAUACUAACCUCAUACUACAAUUCGACUCCAAUCUCGCUGUGAUUAAAUGACGUUCACGUUCGCGAAUUUAACGGAUGGCGAUGGUGAAAAACGCGCGAAAUCGCCAUACAGUAACACGAGAACAAGUGCCAAUUUUCCUGGUGUACGGUUUUAAAGAUAUUAGGUUACCACUUUUGAGUUUCAUAUUUGUUUUGUGCCUUUACGCCUCAACUGAGUACUUCACUUCACAGGUAGACAGAGAGCUGUUAAAAUUUGAUCGAACAAUAUACUAUGUUCCAUAUCGCUGAAACACGUCUGCCUGGAAUGGAUUGAGGUUUGUCGCGCGACUGAAAUCGGCCGCUGAAUUGCAGUCUCGAGAUGGAAACUUGGUGCAGCUGUGAUGUAUGACCAGUUUCACAAAAAAAGAAGAAAGAAAAUAAGAGAAAAAGCGGUCGUUCCAGGCGAAUCUAAUUCCCGGGAUUUCGAUGCUGUCAAAUAAAAACGGCUGGAAUAACACAGGUGCCGCGGCAGCAUGGGCAUUUAUAUCCUCCGGGCGGUUCUUCGCACGCCGCUCUCCACUCCCGGCGACCAGCGGUGGGAUCAGCGCGACGUUUUUCUCCGUUAUUCAUCACAACCUGCUCCGACUUUCUCCGAUCGUUAUGUAACAUGAGCCAGCUCCGACUGUCUCCACCAAUGGAGCUCAUGGAUCGUGCAAAUCACUCGGCUGUAAGGGCCUGCUCACACCUGGGAAUUGCUUGCGCCGCCCGCUCCAUAUACGCCGUACACGCCGUAAGAAACGCGUGCAACUGGAAGUCGUUGCGACAAACGUCGGCCGCGCCAGCCGUGCCGCGGUGCCGUGCAUUCCUGAAACAAGGUAGACCUCGUUCCGACGCUUAGCCAGCACGGGAUGCCAGGCGCUCCGGAUACCCGGCGUUACACGCUGACCCUGAGGGGGCAGCGCUUCUUUCUCGGCGAUAGCUGGCUGAAGCCGAGCCGAGAACUCGAAGAGAGUUGUGUUCGCAGACAACCGCAAAAUUUUCAAGAUGGUCAUCAUUUGCGUGCUCGCAAUACUGGCCUAACUUUAAUAUUAAAUUCAUUAAAACUCAUUAAAUUCAUUAAAAUAAUGUAUCAUAUCAAAAUUAAAUUGAUCAUCAUAUCAUAUCAUAUCAUAUCAUAUUAUAUCAUAUUAUAUCAAAUUAAAUUAGAACUUUGAUAUCAUAUUAAAUUGCAUAUCCAUUAAAAUGAUGUAUCACAUCCAUUUAAAUUUAAGAAAUA